rnacentral:rRNA from 1 species
AUUGAACGCUGGCGGCAUGCUUUACACAUGCAAGUCGAACGGUAACAGGGUGCUUGCACCGCUGACGAGUGGCGAACGGGUGAGUAAUGCGUCGGAACGUGCCGAGUAGUGGGGGAUAACGCAUCGAAAGGUGUGCUAAUACCGCAUACGUACUGAGGUAGAAAGUGGGGGACCUUAGGGCCUCACGCUAUUCGAGCGGCCGACGUCUGAUUAGCUAGUUGGUGAGGUAAAGGCUCACCAAGGCGACGAUCAGUAGCGGGUCUGAGAGGAUGAUCCGCCACACUGGGACUGAGACACGGCCCAGACUCCUACGGGAGGCGGCAGUGGGGAAUUUUGUACAAUGGGCGCAAGCCUGAUUCAGCCAUGCCGCGUGUCUGAAGAAGGCCUUCGGGUUGUAAAGGACUUUUGUCCGGGAGCAAAUACCCAGUGCUAAUAACGCUGGGGGCUGAGAGUACCGGAAGAAUAAGCACCGGCUAACUACGUGCCAGCCGCCGCAGUAAGAC